rnacentral:rRNA from 1 species
UGGGGAAUGUUGCACAAUGGGCGAAAGCCUGAUGCAGCGACGCCGCGUGAGGGAUGACGGCCUUCGGGUUGUAAACCUCUUUCAGUAGGGACGAAGCGCAAGUGACGGUACCUACAGAAGAAGCACCGGCCAACUACGUGCCAGCAGCCGCGGUAAUACGUAGGGUGCGAGCGUUGUCCGGAUUCACUGGGCGUAAAGAGCUCGUAGGCGGUUUGUCACGUCGUCUGUGAAAACCCGAGGCUUAACCUCGGGCCUGCAGGCGAUACGGGCAGACUUGAGUACUGUAGGGGAGACUGGAAUUCCUGGUGUAGCGGUGGAAUGCGCAGAUAUCAGGAGGAACACCGGUGGCGAAGGCGGGUCUCUGGGCAGUAACUGACGCUGAGGAGCGAAAGCGUGGGUAGCGAACAGG